UACGUAGGUGGCAAGCGUUGUCCGGAAUCAUUGGGCGUAAAGCGCGCGUAGGCGGCUUGUCAGGUCUGAUGUGAAAUCUUAGGGCUCAACCCUAAGCGUGCAUCGGAAACCGACUGGCUAGAGUCCGGGAGAGGAGAGUGGAAUUCCUGGUGUAGCGGUGAAAUGCGUAGAUAUCAGGAGGAACACCGGUUGCGAAGGCGGCUCUCUGGAACGGUACUGACGCUGAGGCGCGAAAGCUAGGGGAGCGAACAGG
rnacentral:rRNA from 1 species